rnacentral:siRNA from 1 species
UGUAAGGAGUAAGCUUGUAGGUGUA